rnacentral:lncRNA from 10 species
AAAAGAACCUGGCACCUCCUUCCCUUCCCUUUUUUCUUUCCUCUCUUGCCAUGUGAUGCCUGCUACCCUUCGCCUUUUGCCAUGAGUGGAUGCAGCUCAAGGUCCUCACCAGAAGCAGAUGCAGAUGCCAUGGUCCUUGGACAGCCUGCAGAACCAUCAGCCAAAUAAGCCUCUUCUCUUUAGGAAUUACCCAGCCACAGGGUUUUACUGUCACCUAGGCUGGAGUGACAUCAUCAGAGUUCACUGCAGCCUCGAUCUGCUGGGCUCAAGCCAUCCUCCCACCUAAGCCUCCCGAAGAGCUAAGACCACAGCAAGGAUCAGGCAUUGUAACAGCCUCAUGAAGUUGUGAAGAUUAAACGAAGUGACACAUGUGAAUCAUUGAGGACAAUGCUGGGCAAAUAAUGCAGAGAUUCUUUUCUGCAGCUCAGACACCAGCCAGAAGAGACAACACAAAAAGAGAGAGAAAGAUGCUGUAUUCUUCCUACCUGUGUCCCAGAAUCCUGAACAGCCGCCGGUGUGCAGGGCCUGGUGGGAAGUGACGUUGCUGCAGAAGCUGCAGUGCUGACGAGGAGGGCAGCAUCCCUCAGAGAGAAGGACACCACAGAGAGUCCCUACCAGCCAGGAGGCUCUCACCAGAUGCGCCCCCUUGACCUUGGACCUCCUAGCUUCAAAAACUGUCAUACAAGACACUCUGUCUUGCUCUCUUGAAUUGCCUGCUCUGGUGGAAGCCAGCCAGCUUCUGCCAUGUCAUGAGAACACUCAUGCAGCCCUGGGAAGAGUCCACGUGGUGAGGAACUGAGGCCUCCUGCCAACAGCCAAGUGAAAGCACCAUCCUGGAAGAGGACCCUCCAGCCCUCAUUAAGUCUGUCAAGCCUUGAGAUGAAUGAACCAACACUAUGAAUGUAACUUCACGAGAGGCUCUGAGCCAGAACCACUCAGCUAAGCCACAGUAACUGUGAAAUAAUCAUGUAUUACUGUUUUAGGCCAGCAAGUUUUGAGAGAAUUUAUUAUGUGGUAAUAGAUAACUAAUACAGUUGUGCUUGUUAUGUUUGGUACUUAAUCAUUUUUACCACCACCACAUCAGCACACUGUAGUAGAAAACAAAUUGUAUGCAUUAAACCGUUUCUUUUUCCCUGAUGAAUUAGGCUGGCUGUCAAGGGGAAAAGUGACCAUCAGAGAUUUUUAAAUGAUCCGAAUGAUUCCAUUAAACAUCACUUAGUAGUCUGCUAGGACUGCCAUAACAAAAUAGCACAUACUGGGUGGCUUAAACAACAGAACUUCAUGUUCUCACAAUUCUGGAAGCUGCAAGUUCAAGAUCAAGGCAUCAGCAGGGUUGGUUUCUUCUGUGGCCCUGGUUUGCAGAUGGCCAUCUUGCUAUGUUCUUACAUGAUCUUUCCUCUGUGUGUGUCUGUGUCCUAAUCUCCAGUACACCAGCCAUAUUGGAUUAGGGCCUACCCAUAUGACCUCAUUUUACCUUAAUUGCCCCUUUAAAGGCCCUAUCUAUAAAUCUAUAAAUACAGUAACAUUCUGAGGUUACUGGGGGCUAGGACUUCAACACGUAAAUUUUUGGGGCCACAAUUUAGCCAAGAACACAGCACUACCACAUUUCCUUCUCUCCCUCCCUUCCUUUCUCCCUUUCUCUUUUCUUUUUUCUUUUCCUUUCCUUUCUUUUCUUUUUCCUCUUUUCUUUUCUCUCUCUUUCUUUUCUUCCUUCUUUCUUUUUCUUUCUUUCUUUCUUUCUUUCUUUCUUUCUUUCUUUCUUUCUUUCUUUCUUUCUUUCUUUCUCUCUUUCUCUCUCUUUCCUUCCCUCCCUUCCUUCCUCUCUUCUCUCUCUCUCUCUUUCUCUCUUUCCUUCUUUCUGAAGGAGUUUUGCUCUUGUUGCCCAGGCUGGAGUGCAAUGGCACGAUCUUGGCUCGCUGCAACCUUUGCCUCCCAGGUUCAAGUGAUUCUCUUGCCUCAGCCUCCAUAGUAGCUGGGACUACAGGCGUGCACCACCACAUUUGGUUAAUAUUUUUGUAUUUUUAGUAGAGGCAGGGUUUCACCAUGUAGGUCAGGCUGGUCUCGAACUCCUGACCUCAAGUGAUCCACCCACCUCGUCUCCCAAAGUGCUGAGAUUACAGGUGUGAGCCACUGCUCCCAGCCUAUCAUUUCAUGCAGAGCAUUCAACUGGAAAAACCCAGUAAUAUAUCUUAUAUUAUAGACUGUCCUAAUUGUUCACCUAAAGGUCUGAACACCUUUUUUAUUUAAUCAUAUUAAACCAGGUUCUCUUUAGAAGACUAAAAAAAAGAAGAAGGCAGUUCUACCAAAUUGUUUCAGGCAUCUCUCUCCUCUUCUGCUAUGUGAGUAUAAUCAUGCUAAGCUUAUUUCUACUUUAAGCACAUUACCCUAGCUGUUCCUUUUUCCUAGGGAACUUUUCUCCCAGAUAUUUGCAAGACUAGCCUUCUCCUGUCACGUAGAUGUCAGCUUUCAAAUCCCGUCCUCAGAAAUGUCUUUCCUGUUUCUAAUCUGCAGUGGCCUUGUCCCCCCACUCCCAGCUCUCUUGUUUCACCAUCUUCUGUUUUCUUUGUGGCACCAUGUCUAUCAGAAAACAUAUUCUAUCUGAUAAUUCUGGUUUACUGCUUAUGUAUUUAUUGUCUGUGUUCCUUCACUAGAACACAAGUUUUGUAUUUAUCACUCUAGGCUUUUAUUGUCAACCAUGUUCGCAGGCUUUAGUGAUAGGGUAGGUGGAUUGGAGACGGGGAAGGAAAAGGGGAGGGGAACAAAAACCAAAACUGCCUGGACAGGGCAGAUGCCAAGAACACCUGGGGCAUGGAAUUAGGAAAGGGAGGUUUGUAGGUUUGUAGAGGAAACACUUCUGAAGGGCCACAAGAUGUGUGACAAUAAGAGGGGAAAAGAACAACACUUUUAAAGAAGUGCUAUUGGGUGUGUUUAUGUUCCUUGAGAGAUUCAGGAAAAGACGAAAGUACUCUUUAAUUAUUUUGAUUGCAGUAAUGUGUAUAUAUGACCAUGAUGCCCUAUGUAAAAAGUAGCCUGGAUUUCACAAUCCAAGAGGUAGGCCUUGUUAGAACACCGUCCUCUGCUGAAAUUCUGGUUUUGUGUAUCAGUCUCCAUAAAGGUAGUCCCUAGAAUAAUACAGAAUUACUUUUGGGUCUCUAUAACUAAGGAUUCUGGAACAGCCCCUCACUCUGCUGCCAGUGGGGCUAGACAGUACUCAGCACAUAAUGAGAACUGAAGAAAUGUUAUCUCCUAGGGAGACUGCAGUGUUCAUGAGCCAGGCAGAAGGAAGAUGGUAUAGAUGGUGCUGGGGAGGCAAACUGAGGCUCUCCCCCAAUCGUAGGUCAAUGGGGGAAAUACUGGGGGGGAAAGAGAGGGAGGGAGGGACAGGGAGAGGGGGAGAGAGAGAGAGAGAGGGAGAGAGAGAGAGAGAGAGAGAGAGAGAGAGAGAGAGAGGUGGCUCUUAUUUGAAUAAAGUAUUAUUAUUGGACUUGAUCUUUUGGGAGAAUACAGUGAGAAGAGAACAUUCUAGAAAAUGGCUGCUUGUUGAAAUAGGGGCAGAAAGACCUGGUACUACUCGUUCCCCAACCUUUUAACUUGUAAAGAGUCAUGGGUUAAUAUGCUGCCCUAGGCAUCGUAAGUGUACCCAGGGCAUUUUGGUAGUUAAGUGUCAAGUAAACUGUCUGAAGGUCCGCAAAUGGGAUAUUUAGAAUGCCUGACUGAACAGAUAGACCUCUGCCCAAGAGCCUGAUGAUGAGUAAGCAGCCACUUUGGCAGAUGGCCAGGGCAAAGGGUUCCAAGUCUGAGUACCACUGAUGAGAAUGUCUCAUCAUUUGAGAUUUGAGAUUAAAACUCUAAAGACUCAAACUUCUUGGUGCACCUGUUUGCAUCCCUGGUGGGGACAGGCCUGGAGGAGAGGGGGUCUGUCUAACACACUUAAGUCCCAGCCACCUUUCCAAGUGGUCUUGACCAAGGACAGCACACGCAUUCUUGACAUGUUCACUUGUGGACCACCUUGGUGUAAGGAAAUCAGGACUGGGGGGACAAACUCGGAUAUAGCUUUCAAGAUAUGAUCAGGCAUGAAAAUGAAAGUAACAUGUUGAAUAGGUGAAAGAAAAUUUUAUUUUAAAUUCUUUUUGAAUAAUAGCACAUUCUCAAGAAAUCCCUAGAAUUAAGUAUUUUUGUCAAUUAUUUAGUAAGUGCCUAAUUUGCUCUUGCUAGGGAAGAAAAUUACAUGGUUGUUCCUAAAUUAUUAAACAAUAUUUUCAUGGCAUUGACAGAGCAAGUAGCAAGGUAUUGACCAGUCACCCUGCUAUAGGAAAACUCUUGG